rnacentral:tRNA from 1 species
GAGGGUAUAGCUCCGUGGUGGAGCACAUGCUUAGCAUGCACGAGUCCUGGGUUCCAUCCCCAGGACCUCCA